UGGACACUGACAUUUGGUCACUGCUCGUGCCAAGGGGCAGAUGGAGACCCGGCGGGGAGCUCGAGGCCUUUCUCACCAGGGACGUUUCUCCAGAGCCCCUGAGGUGCUGUUAGACGGCAGUGGCAGCAUGGCCAGUUCCAUCACCGGCACUGACCGUUCCCAGCAUGCAGCCUCCAGGAACAGCCUCUCAACUCUGACAUCCACUGAUGCACAGCAUCCCUUUAAAUUGGUUUGGG